UGACCUGCCAAGGUGCGUAUCGCCUUGUUUACUUAUUCAUAAUAAUAUUUUCAUCUCUUUUCAUCUCAGCAAUGACAGAACCCAUCAGACCAUUUCAACACAGCGCUACAUAAUUGAAGCCGUCAACAGACUGCGAUAAUAGGCUGCCAACACGGGGUCUCUAAAACAUGGUCUCUCUUUCACUUCUCGUCUCUGGAGACUUGUUAGCGCAUCCAAAACAGGGACACCUGUGGAGAGGACAGAGGUCAAAAGCAGAGCCGCAAACACCACAACAACUUAACCUUGGAGUCAUCGAUAUCGACAAAAAUCCCAUCAUUCACCCGCUCCUCCAAUGAUUUUCGAGUCUACAUUCAUCCGUCAUGUUUGACUGAAGCCGCUCUUGAACUGAGAGGUGGAGCCAGAAUGGGAGCGCAUUCGAUACAGAACUGAACUUUGGACCGUCGACUUCCAGUGACAGACAGACCUGCACUGUGACGCAUACGGGACAGCCUUAUCUCAGUCUAGACGAGACCCGAGGGAACGCUUCAAGCGCGGUUAAAGUCUAUUAAGCAGCUACCAUUGCAGCCAUUGCGGAGUUAAUUAAAGAAAGCUUGCCGAAUGUCUUUCCCGGUCUGUUCUAGUAGGUUGCCAUUUGUGCUCGGCUAAUUCCCUGAGCACAAAUUACCCGAGAGCAAUUAGCAGUUUUUAGUACAGCCCCGGGACAACUCUGAAGUCUUUAAGUAACACAAAAGGCCAAGACAAAUCAAGCAGCGCUGAACCAUUAUGACUUCUUGGCCAUCUCACCCAGGAAAUUCAAAGUCAAUAGACCCACUGCUUGGUGAGAUAUGCAAAGCAGGGUGCUAGCCUGCAAGUAUGUGCUAUGCAAUGUUUAAUGCUUUUUAACAAUAAACCUUUUAUAAA